AUUGAACGCUGGCGGCAGGCCUAACACAUGCAAGUCGAGCGCGCGGCGGACGGGUGAGCAAUGUAUGGGUAUUUGCCCGAUUGAGGGGGAUAACUACUUGAAACGGUGGCUUAUACCGCAUACUCUCGGAUGAGCCCACAUUGGAUUAGCUAGUAGGUGGGGUAAAGGCUCACCUAGGCGACGAUCCCUAGCUGGUCUGAGAGGAUGAUCGGCCACACUGGAACGGAGACACGGCCCAGACUCCUACGGGAGGCAGCAGUGGGGAAUAUUGCACAAUGGGCGCAAGCCUGAUGCAGCCAUGCCGCGUGUGUGAAGAAGGCCUUAGGGUUGUAAAGGACUGUCAGCGAGGAGGCGUUAACCGCAGAAGAAGCACCGGCUAACUCCGUGCCAGCAGCCGCGGGAAUUC
rnacentral:rRNA from 1 species